GAUCCUGGCUCAGGACGAACGCUGGCGGCGUGCCUAAUACAUGCAAGUCGAACGCUUCUUUUUCCACCGGAGCUUGCUCCACCGGAAAAAGAGGAGUGGCGAACGGGUGAGUAACACGUGGGUAACCUGCCCAUCAGAAGGGGAUAACACUUGGAAACAGGUGCUAAUACCGUAUAACAAUCGAAACCGCAUGGUUUUGAUUUGAAAGGCGCUUUCGGGUGUCGCUGAUGGAUGGACCCGCGGUGCAUUAGCUAGUUGGUG
rnacentral:rRNA from 1 species